rnacentral:rRNA from 1 species
UACGUAGGGGCAAGCGUUGUCCGGAAUCAUUGGGCGUAAAGAGCGUGUAGGCGGCUUGGUAAGUCCGCUGUGAAAGUCCAGGGCUCAACCCUGGAAUGCCGGUGGAAACUGUCAAGCUUGAGUCCGGAAGAGGCGAAGUGGAAUUCCUGGUGUAGCGGUGAAAUGACGCAGAUAUCAGGAGGAACACCAAUGGCGAAGGCAGCUCGCUGGGACGGUACUGACGCUGAGACGCGAAAGCGUGGGGAGCAAACAGG